rnacentral:rRNA from 1 species
UACGUAGGGGGCGAGCGUUGUCCGGAAUCAUUGGGCGUAAAGCGCGUGUAGGCGGCCCGAUAAGUCCGCUGUGAAAGUCCAGGGCUCAACCCUGGGAUGCCGGUGGAUACUGUCGGGCUCGAGUCCGGAAGAGGCGAGUGGGAAUCCUGGUGUAGCGGUGAAAUGCGCAGAUAUCAGGAGGAACACCAAUGGCGAAGGCAGCUCGCUGGGACGUGACUGACGCUGAGACGCGAAAGCGUGGGGAGCAAACAGG